GGUAAAUUCCUCAAUCAUAGACAUAGGCUGCGACUUGCGAGGUGAGACAGGAAACACCUUAUACCCUCAACUCAACUCAACAAAAGAUCCGUUAGAUCCAAUCGAAUGAAAUCAGUCAGGGGCAGGCCACCUGAUUUUUAGCCACGUGUACGGCUAUUGUCGCAUUGCAAAAAAUUCAACUGUAGCAAUGUGCAACUGAAACGGUCAAGUUGGUGGGUUCCGUUAGGCAAGCAACACAAAUGGGUAUAUUAUGGAAGAAAGGAAAAACCUGUUUUGCCUCGCUCGGUGUUCGCUAUCCCCAGUCUCCCACGUGGGCUCCACCAUCAAUUACCCCACUAUCAAGUCUUAACCCCCGCCCCCAUUGUCUGCUUAAGCUUUUCUUUCGGUGAUCCUUAACCCUCCCUAUAAAAAUCUCUAUAUCCCACUCACUCGAGUUAACCAACCAGUUUCCUCCCUUUCAUGCUCUGCUAUUCAAAGAAACGGAGCAUGGCAAUGGCUUCCUUCGCAUUCUCUUUCUCUUGCUUCCUUGUGCUACUUUCUUUCUUUGUCUUUGCAGAUGCAGCAGGUACAAUAGGCAUAAACUACGGCCGAGUCGCCAAUGACUUGCCAACACCGGACAAAGUUGUGGAACUUCUGAAAUCACAGGGAAUCAAACGUGUCAAGCUCUACGACACUGACUCAGCCGUUUUGACAGCACUUGCCAAUUCAGACAUUAGCGUCGUCGUAGCGCUGCCUAACGAGCUCCUCGCCUCCACUGCAGCCGACCAGUCUUUUGCUGAUAACUGGGUCCAAUCCAACAUCUCUCACUAUUACCCCAAGACACAAAUUGAAGCCAUUGCCGUAGGUAAUGAAGUUUUUGUUGACCCCAAAAACACCACCAAGUUCCUUGUACCCGCCAUGAAAAACGUUUACAAUUCUCUUGUCAAGCUUAACCUUUCUUCCAUUAAAAUCUCGUCUCCUAUAGCUCUCAGUGCUCUGCAGAACUCUUACCCAUCAUCAGCCGGAUCCUUCAAACCCGACUUAAUUGAACCCGUGAUGAAACCCAUGAUGGAAUUUCUGCGUCAAUCCGGGUCAUAUCUCAUGGUCAAUGCAUACCCAUUUUUUGCAUACACUGCCAACUCUAAGGAUAUCUCUUUGGACUACGCCUUGUUCAAAGAAAACCAGGGAACGGUGGAUUCCGGUAACGGUUUAAAGUACUACAGCCUUUUGGAGGCCCAACUCGACGCCGUUUUCGCUGCCAUGUCAGCUAUCCAGUACAACGACAUAAAAAUGGUGGUCACAGAAACCGGAUGGCCUUCGCUGGGCGAUGAAAACGAGAUUGGCGCAAAUGAGGAAAAUGCGGCGUCGUAUAACGGAAAUUUAGUGAAGAGAGUCUUGACCGGAAAUGGGACCCCUCUAAGAACGCAGGACCCACUUGACGUUUACUUAUUUGCAUUGUUCAAUGAGAACCAAAAACCGGGUCCCACAUCCGAGAGGAAUUACGGAUUGUUUUAUCCCAACGAAGAGAAAGUAUAUGAUAUACCUCUCACGUUGAAGGAUUUAGGUAACAGCCAAUCAACCCCAGUCAACAGGAACAAUAGUCAAGUCCCGGUGAAUGGUACCAGCGGUGAAGUGUCGAAGACGUCGGUCGGACAGACGUGGUGUGUAGCCAAUGGGAAUGCUGGAACGGAGAAGCUCCAAGUUGCGAUUGAUUAUGCUUGUGGUGAGGGAGGAGCUGAUUGCCGUCCAAUCCAACCCGGUGCGACGUGUUAUAAUCCAAACACAAUAGAGGCCCACGCUUCUUAUGCCUUUAACAGUUAUUACCAGAAGAAGGCCCGUGCUGCUGGUACGUGUGAUUUUGGUGGUACCGCUUAUGUGGUCACGCAGCCUCCUCAAUUUGGAAGCUGCGAGUUCCCUACCGGUUACUGAGUCGACAAAGAUGAGGGGGAAUUCAUUGGUGAAUAGCCGCAAAUUUUCUUAUUUCUACUAGUAUAUAGAGAGAUUACAAGGCAUUUCCUUUUGUAUUUAAUAUUACAUGUUAUAUUCUUAUAGUGUAGUUGGUUUGACUAUUUUGUCAAUAGUUGGUUUGACUAUUUUGUCAAUAGUUUUUAGUCCUUAUCUACUUGUACUGUUUAUUCUAUAUCAUAUGGUUCAUUUUUCUAUGAUAUAAUUAGAAUAGAAUAUGUGGUUGAGGAGGUGGCCUACUAACUACCACCCUAUCUCUUUCUUAUUUAGCUUUUGUAUUGUUGGGUUGGUUUGGAAAUUUUGGGAAAUUGGCUUAAUAUGAAAUGUUGAAACCAACAAAUCAUUCAAACUAGGGGCAAUUAGGGUUUGUUGGAAAUUCUGGGAGUCCUUGUCACACGCUUUGGAUUUAACGAACGAAUGAUUUCUUGAAGAAAUAUUAGUUAGGCGUUGCAAUUUUCUCAACUAAAAUUGGCUAAACUCUUCUAAAUUCUUUUUUACUUUUUUCCUAUCAUUCACAUCUGUGCAAGAUAUU
rnacentral:misc_RNA from 1 species